rnacentral:rRNA from 1 species
GAUGAACGCUGGCGGCGUGCCUAAUACAUGCAAGUAGAACGCUGAAGGAAGGAGCUUGCUCUUUCCGGAUGAGUUGCGAACGGGUGAGUAACGCGUAGGUAACCUGCCUGGUAGCGGGGGAUAACUAUUGGAAACGAUAGCUAAUACCGCAUAACAGUAGAUGUUGCAUGAUAUCUACUUAAAAGGUGCAAUUGCACCACUACCAGAUGGACCUGCGUUGUAUUAGCUAGUUGGUGAGGUAACGGCUCACCAAGGCGACGAUACAUAGCCGACCUGAGAGGGUGAUCCGCCACAACGGGACUGAGACCCGGCCCAGACUCCUACGGGAGGCAGCAGUAGGGAAUCUUCGGCAAUGGACGGAAGUCUGAACGGGCAAAGCCGCGGGAGGGAAGAAGGGUUUCGGAUCGUAAAGCUCCGUUGUAAGAGAAGAAAGAGUGUGAGAGUGGAAAGUUCACACUGUGACGGUACCUAACCAGAAAGGGACGGCUAACUACGUG